GCCCUAUGAAGAAAGACAAGAUGACGAGUCUGAGUCAGUACGUUGUAAAGUGCAGUUAUUGCGCUUUACCGUGUUUAAUCAUGCUGUGUGGAGGCAUUUGUCCGAGGGCU
rnacentral:snoRNA from 1 species